GAUGAACGCUGGCGGCGUGCCUAAUACAUGCAAGUCGAGCGAACGGACGAGAAGCUUGCUUCUCUGAUGUUAGCGGCGGACGGGUGAGUAACACGUGGAUAACCUACCUAUAAGACUGGGAUAACUUCGGGAAACCGGAGCUAAUACCGGAUAAUAUUUUGAACCGCAUGGUUCAAAAGUGAAAGACGGUCUUGCUGUCACUUAUAGAUGGAUCCGCGCUGCAUUAGCUAGUUGGUAAGGUAACGGCUUACCAAGGCAACGAUGCAUAGCCGACCUGAGAGGCGGAUCGGCCACACUGGAACUGGGACACGGUCCAGACUCCUACGGGAGGCAGCAGUAGGGAAUCGUACGCAAUGGGCGAAAGCCUGACGGAGCAACGCCGCGUGAGUGAUGAAGGUCUUCGGAUCGUAAAACUCUGUUAUUAGGGAAGAACAUAUGUGUAAGUAACUGUGCACAUCUUGACGGUACCUAAUCAGAAAGCCACGGCUAACUACGUG
rnacentral:rRNA from 1 species